CCGUCUAUAUACGUAUAGCAUAUCAAUAAGCGGAGGAAAAGAAACCAACAAGGAUUCCCUUAGUAACGGCGAGUGAAGCGGGAAGAGCUCAAAUUUGAAAUCUUCAAGGUUUUACCUUGACGAAUUGUAGUUUAAAGAAGUGUUUUCUGUUGGAGUUUUGGUAAAAGUUCUUUGGAAUAGGACAUCAUAGAGGGUGAGAAUCCCGUAUUUGACCAUUAUUUCCAGCUGUGUGAUACACUUUCAAAGAGUCGGAUUGUUUGGGAAUGCAGUCCAAAAUGGGUGGUAAAUUUCAUCUAAAGCUAAAUAUUGGCGAGAGACCGAUAGCGAACAAGUACCGUGAGGGAAAGAUGAAAAGAACUUUGAAAAGAGAGUUAAACAGUACGUGAAAUUGUCAAAAGGGAAGCGUUUGACACCAGUGUUGUUUUCUCGAAAAUCAAUUAAAAUGAUGGUUAUUUUUGAUGUAGUUAUGACUUCAUCAGGCUUUGCUGCACUUUCUUUAUGUACUUUCUUAAUGCACUUUUCGUUUAACAAGUCAACAUCAAUUUCUUUUGUUGUAAAAGAGUAUGAGGAAGGUGGCUUUCAUUUCGGUGAAAGUGUUUAUAGCCUUGUACUUCUGCAAUCGGAGAGAUUGAGGUCUGCAGCGUAGAUCCUUCGGGGUUAGAUACACUUGUGCUAAGUUAUAGCUUUUCAUAGACAACAUGUUGACUUAUGUUUAGUCUUGUAGCUUACUCGCUUAUGCUAUUUUACCUACGCUUAGGAUGUUGAUAUGCAUGACUGAUAU
rnacentral:rRNA from 1 species